rnacentral:rRNA from 1 species
AUUGAACGCUGGCGGCAUGCCUUACACAUGCAAGUCGAACGGCAGCACGGGAGCAAUCCUGGUGGCGAGUGGCGAACGGGUGAGUAAUAUAUCGGAACGUGCCCGGUCGUGGGGAUAACGUAGCGAAAGCUACGCUAAUACCGCAUACGAUCUACGGAUGAAAGCGGGGGGAUCGCAAGACCUCGCGCGAUUGGAGCGGCCGAUAUCAGAUUAGGUAGUUGGUGAGGUAAAGGCUCACCAAGCCGACGAUCUGUAGCUGGUCUGAGAGGACGACCAGCCACACUGGGACUGAGACACGG